rnacentral:rRNA from 1 species
GACGAACGCUGGCGGCGUGCUUAACACAUGCAAGUCGAACGGAAAGGCCUGCUUUCCCUUGUGGAUUGCGGGUACUCGAGUGGCGAACGGGUGAGUAACACGUGAGUGAUCUGCCCCCAACUUGGGUAUAAGCCUGGGAAACUGGGUCUAAUUCCCGAUAGGACUGCAGGGUGGUGCCUGUGGUGGAAAACGAUUUUCUAGUGGUUGGGGAUGAGCUCGCGGCCUAUCAGCUUGUUGGUGGGGUAUUGGCCUACCAAGGCGGCGACGGGUAGCCGGCCUGAGAGGGUGGACGGCCACAUUGGGACUGAGAUACGGCCCAGACUCCUACGGGAGGCAGCAGUGGGGAAUAUUGCACAAUGGGCGGAAGCCUGAUGCAGCGACGCCGCGUGGGGGAUGACGGCCUUCGGGUUGUAAACUCCUUUCGACCGCGAGGAAGCCACCUGGUUGGAAGGGUGGUGACGGUAGUGGUAGAAGAAGCACCGGCUAACUACGUG